rnacentral:rRNA from 1 species
UACAGAGGGUGCGAGCGUUGUCCGGAAUCACUGGGCGUAAAGGGCGCGUAGGCGGUCUCUUAAGCGUGUGGUGAAAAAUCCGGGGCUCAACCCCGGACUUGCAGUGGGUACGGGCAGACUAGAGUGUGGUAGGGGAGACUGGAAUUCCUGGUGUAGCGGUGGAAUGCGCAGAUAUCAGGAGGAACACCGGUGGCGAAGGCGGGUCUCUGGGGCAGUAACUGACGCUGAGGAGCGAAAGCGUGGGGAGCGAACAGG